GAUCCUGGCUCAGGAUGAACGUUGGCGGCGUGCCUAACACAUGCAAGUCGAACGGUAGGUUCCCUUCGGGGAGUUGAGAGUGGCGCACGGGUGAGUAACACGUAACUGAUCUGCCCUGUAGAGCGGGAUAACUUGUGGAAACAUGGGCUAAUACCGCAUGAGCUCACGGUAGUUAGAGAGCAGUGAGAAAAUGCAUAUGCGCUACGGGAUGAGGUUGCGUCCCAUCAGCUAGUUGGUGAGGUAAAGGCUCACCAAGGCGAUGACGGGUAGGGGACCUGAGAGGGUGACCCCCCACACUGGGACUGAGACACGGCCCAGACUCCUACGGGAGGCAGCAGUGAGGGAUAUUGCACAAUGGACGGAGGUCUGAUGCAGCGACGCCGCGUGGGCGAAGAAGGUUUUCGGAUCGUAAAGUCCUUUUCUAUGUGACGAGAUAGGACGGUAGCAUAGGAAUAAGUGUCGGCUAACUACGUGCCAGCAGCCGCGGUAAAACGUAGGACGCGAACGUUAUCCGGAGUUACUGGGCGUAAAGCGCGCGCAGGCGGUCAGCUAAGUCUUCUAUGAAAGUUACCGGCUAAACUGGUAGAGUGUAGAAGAAACUGUCUGACUAGAGAGAAAUAGAGGGAAAGUAGAAUUCCGGGUGUAGUGGUGAAAUGCGUAGAUAUCCCGGAGGAAUACCGGUGGCGAAGGCGGCUCCCUGGAUUUCCACUGACGCUGAGGCGCGAAAGCGUGGGUAGCGAACGGGAUUAGAAACCCCGGUAGUCCACGCUGUAAACGAUGUACAUUAGGCGUUCGGUUGUCGUUUAGGCAAUUGAGUGUCGCAGCAAACGCGAUAAGUGUACCGCCUGGGGAGUACGGUCGCAAGGCUAAAACUCAAAGGAAUUGACGGGGGCCCGCACAAGCAGCGGAGCGUGUGGUUUAAUUCGAGGCUACGCGAAGAACCUUACCUGGGUUUGACAUGCUGGUAGUACGGAAGCGAAAGCGGAAGGACCCUUCGGGGAGCCAGCACAGGUGCUGCAUGGUUGUCGUCAGUUCGUGCCGUGAGGUGUUCGGUUAAGUCCGCAAACGAGCGCAACCCUCGGAGCUAGUUACAAGUGUCUAGCUCGACUGCCCGUGACAAACGGGAGGAAGGUGGGGAUGACGUCAAAUCAGCAUGGCCUUUAUAUCCAGGGCGACACACACGCUACAAUGGUCGAUACAAUGGGUGGCGAAGGCGCGAGUUGGAGCGAAUCCUAAAAAGUCGAUCUCAGUUCGGAUUGCAGGCUGCAACUCGCCUGCAUGAAGUCGGAGUUGCUAGUAACCGCGAAUCAGCACGUUGCGGUGAAUACGUUCCCGGGCCUUGUACACACCGCCCGUCACGUCAUGGAAGUUGGUCGAGCCUGAAGUCGGGAAGCUAACCUUCGGGGGGCUACUGCCUAGGGCAGGGUUGAUGACUGGGACGAAGUCGUAACAAGGUAGCC
rnacentral:rRNA from 1 species